rnacentral:rRNA from 1 species
GAUGAACGCUGGCGGCGUGCCUAAUACAUGCAAGUCGAGCGAACAGACGAGGAGCUUGCUCCUCUGACGUUAGCGGCGGACGGGUGAGUAACACGUGUAUAACCUACCUAUAAGACUGGUAUAACUUCGGGAAACCGGAGCUAAUACCGGAUAAUAUAUUGAACCGCAUGGUUCAAUAGUGAAAGACGGUUUUGCUGUCACUUAUAGAUGGAUCCCCGCCGCAUUAGCUAGUUGGUAAGGUAACGGCUUAUCAAGGCGACGAUGCGUAGCCGACCUGAGAGGGUGAUCGGCCACACUGGAACUGGGCCGGGGUCAAGGCUCCUACGGGAGGCAGCAGUAGGGAAUCUGACGCAAUGGGCGAGAGCCUGACGGAGCAACGCCGCGUGAGUGAUGACGGUCUUCGGAUCGUAAAACUCUGUUAUUAGGGAAGAACAAAUGUGUAAGUAAAUAUGCACGUCUUGACGGUACCUAAUCAGAAAGCCACGGCUAACUACGUG